rnacentral:tRNA from 10 species
GUCUGUACCAAACAUUGUCAGUGUUCCAGCCAUGCUGGUAAAUGUUUAACAAUGAGCUCUCAAAAAGAAAACCCCGAAUUAUGGCACUUGCCAAUUUCCAUGGUGUAAAUACUCCCACAUGGCUGACAUCAAACUAAAUUAAUGGUUGUCUCCACACAUGUAGCUGGGAAGCAAUGCUCACACCCCAGAGGGAGCUGGCCCCGAACACCCCCCUGUGCCCUCUUGCCUGACCCGGUUUGGACACCAGCUGCCUGGCGGCCAGUGCUGGGGCGUUUUGUCCGGUGCUGCCCUCAGAAGGCACUCUGCCUGAGAGUACGCAAAGCCAGCAGUGCCUGGGAGUUUACAGCCCCCAGGGGGAUCUUGUGGGUACAAAUACUGCAACUGUUGGCUCUGAUUGGCUGGCUCUGGGAUGUGACUUCCUCCCUAGAGGCUGAGCCAAAGGCAUCUUCAGCUGACUUUGCUUGAAGCCUCACCUUGGCUUGGCUUCCUGCCUUUUUUCCUCUCAGUUCCUCUUCCACCUGUCUUUGCAGAUAACUUUCCUGGUAACUUCCUUUCACACGCAACCUUGUCUCAGGGUCUACUUCUAGGGAACCCACGUAAGGCUGCAUCUCUAGAUAUCUUUUUCCCUUAAAUGCCCUGGGGUUUGGGAGAGUUUCCCACUCAAUAAUACUCAGUAAGCUUUCCCAUUAACCCCGCUAUAAGCUUUUCUUGGUUUCCUCUGUGUCUGUGCCCCAAGGUGUGUCUGUCGUGGGGGGAUGAGUCAUGGAGCAAAGUCCUCCCCACUGACUCAGCAAUGCCAUUUCCUGCCCACAACCUUCUAGAACUCUUGCACUUUGACACAAUGGGGACCAGCCCACCCCUGAUUCACCAGCUCAGUUUUCUGUCACAUCCUGUACUUUCCCUGAGGAUUUUUCUGUUCUCCUUCUGACCAGAGUCAACGCCAACCAACCCACAAGCAGCAGAGAACAGAAACGUGGCCAGAUGGUCUCCAAUACGGAUCAAAAACAUAAAGAGGCAAACGUGGAGGGGCGGAAGGUCCUUGGCCCUUUUCUCUUGAAAUUGAGUUCGCUGUGUUGAAAUGUCCAUCGUGUCUGCAUCCCCUUCCUGGUUUUCCCCAAAGAGGCCGUGGCGGGGGAACAGGUGGCGUUCCAUGUGGUGGCAACAUGAAGGGAUCACUCGCCAGCGAGCAUAAUCGCUCUGGAAACAUUCGGAAUACUCAUAUGUUCUGUACUUUUCCCCUGAGUCAAUAAGGUAGAAAUGCAUCAGGAGAAAGUCAAAGGUUUCUGUCAAAAUCCAGACCACAGGGAGAAAAUGACGAGUUGAUGGGGCUCACCCUGUGAUCAAUUUCUCCGUGAACCUGACAGGGAAGUCUUCUUAGAGGGCACCUCAGCGUCUGAAGUUGGCUUUCACAAUGAGCAGAAGGUGAAAAGCUGCCAAACAACAGCCACUUUCAAAAUCCAGUGAAAACAGAACUAAGCCAACAAAGGAAUAACAAGGUCCCAGGUUGCAAAACAAAACAAGUUGGGAAAACUUGUCCAAGAGCUGUACUGAACUCUUGCAUGGGCGCUGACGUACACAAAUCAUCCUCAUCACCUCUGAAACGAGGCAGCUCUAAAUUACUUCUUGAAUUCCAUAUGGUUAAUCUGCAGGCACAGGAACAUGCUUUAGGGUGAAAUUUAGUUGUUGUUGUUUUCACUGGGCUUGCAAUAACAUAUUGUAAAUGACUAAGGCUAGAUGACACUUUCACACCAGUCUUGAAAUCAUCCCAGUGAUCUUGACCCAAUGCCAGAUGAGGAUCUUGGUGCAGAUAAAGCGACUGUGCUUCUUCUUCCUGCAGAAUUAACAUUAACAAUCCUGCACAUUAACAAUCUAGAACUAUGUUAGCCAGGGUAUUUGAGGCAGAAUUCUGAACUGAAAUUGGUCGUCUCCUAGCACAAUGAUUUUUAAAUACAAAACAAGCAAACACACAAAAAGAAAAAAAGAAACAACAAGAAAUUUUAAAAUGUCGUAUCUAUCUUAUGAAAGCCAAAAUGAAAGAUUGGCAACCUUUCCUGAAUAUGGGCAUUGUCCACAUCUAAUCUAGAUGAUGUGGGUCCAGUUUUCUCUUUCUUCAAUCAUCUGAUGUUUUUACAUUCAAAUUGGUAGGAAAAGGAUGCUUUCCAGUUUAAUUUUCUUUAAAAUAAUUUCGCAGAUUUCUGAAUCCAUAUGCAAUUUUUAAGAGCACAGACUUUGGACUCAAAAAUGAGUUUAAAUUCUCAGUCUGCCACUUACAAGAUGAGUAAGGUGAAAAACCCCUUCACCUCUGUAAGCCUCAGGUGAAAAGCCUCCCUCUUCCCAAUGCUACCUGCCAGCUACGCUUCUCGGCAGAUGUUUCUGGACUUCAGUGGCCUCAUUUGCAAGCUGAGAGGGCUGAACAGAUGAACCCUACACUCUUCUGUCUGAAGUUUCUGUGCUCCCAAAUGUCUUCAUUUUAAAGAGGAGGUGGGGAAGAGAUGGAAACUUCUAAACUAAGUGCCUCGCCCAGACAGCUCUCCUCAAAGAAGGGGAGCAACCCCAACCCCUCCCCAGCAGUGAGGGUCCUGAACCCACCCUUGGCCCAUCACCCACCCCCAGCCCACAGCAAGGGUCCAUCCCUGCCUCCCUUAAGAUGGGGAAAUGGGUCUCUUGGGCUGCCAGUAUGUGAGCCUGCUCUCCCCAGAAGGCAUAAUCCCUAGUAGGUGAGAUUGUUGAGAAUAACGCUGGGGGGUCCUCUAGCCCGGAAACCCUGCAAGCUGACAUGGGGCCUUCUCAAUCCCCGUUCCCACCACACAGAGCUGCAUUCCUGGAAAAUGACACGGCGCCAAGAGGUUUUUAAUAGAAAUGACCCUGCUGAUCAUCCCAGCCACCCUGUGAGUACACACAGAGUAUCAGGAAAACCUUGUUUUUCAAAUGAAGACACUGAGGCUGGAAGCCACGCAGUGACUUGUCUGGGCUCUGGCCCAGCAGAGCCUCACAUGCAAAUCUCAGGAUCCUAAACACCAUUUUCAUUGCUUUCUUUCCCCAAAAUGUUUGUGGUCUCUUUUGUGUCAGGUAAAGCACUAGUCACUUUCUACAAAGCCUUGCACGUUUUAUGUUGGAUUAUUCUGCUAUUUUGGCAAAUAAUGUGAAAGUGUUUAAGCACUUUUAUGUCAAACCUAAUUUCCUUUCAACAUCAUGUGAUAAUACCAGAAGUUGGCAGGGGAAAUUUUGUUGUUUUUCUCUUAUUUUUAAGUUAAAUAUUAAUGAUAAAAAAGAACCAUCAAUAAGAGCCCCUUGCAGUCCCUGAGCUCUUCACAUCCUGGUGACUAUUUUUACUGGGAAGAUGCUUUUAUUUCUGACUCUGCAUGGUAACUGGGAUGACAUCAAUUAUUUGUUUGUUACCUCCCAAAUUAUCAAGGAGCCGAUGAUCUAAUGAUGAUGAUCAAUGACACAGGUGAUAGAUGAUGUCACAAUCUGAACACCUGCCGGGUGCCACCCAGCACCUUUCCUGCAUCGCCUCCCAUAUCCUCUGAGGACCCAAGAUCCACUUUAGUAUUUGCCACAUAGUAAAUGCUCAGAAAAUACCAGCGCAGUCACUCUUCUCUGGAGUCCAAUCUUCCCUGAACAGGUGCUCCUGCGCCCAUUUUAUAGGUGAGCAAACCGAGGAUAGAAAGUUUACAUCACUCCCUCAGGAUCCUGCAGCCAGUAUUUAAAUGCGAGGACAUGUUCUUUCUUCUACCUAUUGCUUGUGAAGCUAGGAAGGAGAUGGGGGUGAGGAAGGAGCAGAGCCCGAGGAAGGUGAAAAUACCAGAAGAAAAAUGGAAGGUGGAGGCCGGGCACAGUGGCUCACACCUGUAAUCCCAGCACUUUGGGGGGCUGAGUCGGGUGGAUCGCCUAAGAUCAGGAGUUCAAGACCAGCCUGGCUAACUGGGUGAAACCUUGUCUCUACCAAAAAUACAAAAAUUAGCCAAGUAUGGUAGUGCACACCUGUAAUUCCAGCUACUGGGGAAGCUGAGGCAGAAGAAUUGCUUGAACCUGGUAUGUGGAGACUGCAGUGAGCCAAGAUUGUGCCAUUGCACCCCAGCACUCCAGCCUGGGCAGCAGAGCAAGACCUCAUCUCAAAAAAAAAAAAAAAAAAGAAAGAAAGAAGAAUGGAAAGUGGAGAACAGGUGGUCUUAACAAGUUGUCCAGAGGAGGAGGAAAUGGAUAGCCCCAGGGCCCUCGUCCUUGGCACAUAUGCACAUGAACAGACCAAACCUGCCAGGUGGGCUUGAGGUUGGAAGGAGCCACAGGGCUGUGUCUACACUGUCCAGUAUGGAAGCACCCAACCACCUGCCACCACGGAACACGUGAAAAGUGUCGAGGUGACUGUGGAACUAAAUUUUUCAUUUUGCAUAAUUUUAAUUUAAAUUUUAAAUGAUAUAAUUUUUACAUUAUUUUCAUUCAUUUACAUUCUAAUAUCCACAGGUGGCUGCCACAUUGCACCACACAGCUGGAGAAGGCUGAGAAGAGGGGGAUGGAGAGACCCUCCCCUCCAAGGGAGAGGUGCAAGGGGGGCCUCUCUGCCCUCCAGGGCUCAGUAUCAAUGGUGGGAGACUGCCUUCAUCCCCCAGAACACACUCCUGGGACAGCUGCAAAUAGGGAACCCCCAAAGCCCAGCAGCUGUGGGAGGUGAAGGGGCAGCUCGGUUACAGACCAGGCUGCAAAGCAUCUGUCUAAAAGGGGUCUCCUGCGGGGCUUCCCAUUGGCUGACGGGAAGAAGCGUGAGGCAGAGUAACCCUGGCAAUGAACUUGAGGGAUCCACUGAGGGCUUUCUACAAUUCCCACAAGAUGCUGUUGCCCUUCCCCAUCCAAGAGGAUGCCAGAGCCCAUGUGAUGACCUUGUUAUCGUUAAGAGGCUUGAAAAAGCAAAACAAGAUCGUCCUGUCUCUGGAUGCACCUUUGAUGCCUCCAUUCUAUCAGGCAAGCAAGGCCCUGGAAACAUCCUUUCUCUCCAGCAGAGGAGCCUGAUAGGUUGACAGGGAACCCUGGUCUCUGGACUCCCAGGCUUAAUCUGGGCCAACAGAGGAAGGGGUUUCCUGAGAAGUGAGACCCUCCAGAGCCCCUGUGGAAGGCUCCCAGCUUUGGGGGCAUUUUUGGUUUCUUAAUCUGCAUUUAGCUCCACCUCAGAGUGGGGCAUGGGGAACCUGAUUGGGAUUUAGAAGGUGACGAGGCAUUCUUACACUAAUUGUGCCCCUCGGGAUGCAUGGAAUACUAGGAGACACCAUGGCUUUUCACAUUCAGGUGCUCGUGUGAACAUCACCAACUGCCUCUAAACACAGGUAGCAGCAACAUGCAAUCUUUUGAUGGGAAGCAGUUAUUUCUUGAUCACUCGAGGGUUUUGAAGGCAGCCAGGCAGCUCAGGGGAAAAGCAGGUUCUACGAGAAGAGAGACAUGAUAUGCUCAGACAUUUCUGCAUCCUUGUCCUACACACAGUGUGAUCCACAGUGGUAAAGGUGAAGAAACUGAGAUUCACGAGUGUUUCAGAAAACUGCCUAAGAUGUUAGAACUAACAAGUCCUGAAGUUCAAACCCAAGUAUGACUGUCAACAUGAGGUUCUUUCUACAAACAGCAAUUCUGGAAGCUUCCAUUUACAGAGUGUUGCCCACAGAAGGGGCCUGGAAUACUGGUUGUUCAUGGAAUCUUCACUACUGCCCCAUGAAGUAGAGACAACGAUUAAGCCCAUUUUACCAAUGAGGAAAAUGGAAGCACAGAGAGACCUAAUAACCUUCCUAAGAUCACACAGUGAGACAGGACCCACAGUUGUUCUCUUUCCUCACCUCAUCACACUGCAGCCAUGACCAACCAAGAGGGCACAAUCGUCACUUAAGGCAUGAAGAAGCUCUGGUCAUAGGCUUGACUUGCAGGUGAGCCACCGAUCGGGGUUGCUCAAUGUGUCCUGAGCCCAAUUCAAGUCAGAUUGUGAAACCUUUGCUUCAACAGUCCCAGUGAUGGGAAGCUCAAUGGGAAGCGAGUCUCUCAGUCAGCUGCCAAUGAGUCUUUCCUUCCCUGAAUGCACAUAGUGGGUAUCAUAUUAAGAUGUGAGGGUUACAUUCUCUCCCCUUGAAUCUGGGCUGGCCCUGUGAUAUGAUGAGCAGAAUGUAGUAGAGGUGACACUCCAGAACUUCCAAGCCCAAAUCCAAGAUUAGCAGUUUCUCCUUCCUUCCCCUUGGGACACAAUCACAAGAGAAGCCUGGGCCCCAAGGAGAAGCCACAUGGAGGAGAACCAAGGUGUUCCAGUUGACAACUCUAAAAGACCUCCUGCCAACAGCCAGCACCAGCUGCCAGCAGGGGGAAUGAGCUGCUUUAGAUUGCCAGCCAGCAUGGAGACCCCAGGUGACUGCAGCCAGCGACAUCAUGAAGAGCAGCAGAACCAACCAGCUGAGCCCUGUCACCCCACAGAAUCACAAGAAUAACAAAACAGUCGGUGGCUUAAGUCAUUGAUCUCCUAGACAUUUUACUGUGCUGCUACCAAUAACUACCUUGUGAGGCAGCCUGUGUACCUGGAGACUGUUCCACCUUUAGGUGUUUUUUCCAUAAAGCUAAAUCCUCAUUCUUUCAUUUGUCUCCCUGGUUGGAGAUCUCCCUCAGGAACCACAUAGAACACAUGACAGAGAAUUAGAAAUGAAGGGGUAUGAGUUAUUAAAGACCAGCUUGUCCAUAUUGCUAACUAUACAGAUUAGUGAUUGAAGGCCAAACAGAUUCUGUGGCAUUCUCUGACCUCCCAUCCAGGUUGGGUACCCCACUCUGAGCUCCCACAAUCCCCUCUGCUUUUCCCACGAAAGCACUUACCACACCACACUACCUCCUAAUAACGUGGUAACAUCUCUUUCCAGGCAAGAGGCCAUAGGC